UGUAUGGAAUCGACCGGACCGCGGUUAAGGUUUACGGUGUUUGUACACAAUUGAUCACGGACAAGUUGUUGUAUCAAUUUAAAUUGAGAUUAGCAAAUUGGAAUACAUUUGUGUUGUAAUUCUCAACUGCUGUUAUACCUACAUUUAAAACCGCAAUGAUUUACGCGUGAUGAAACUCUAAACCUACUGUAUUUGUUAAGGCGAUCAGGUUACGGCCAUACCGU